rnacentral:rRNA from 1 species
GUGCCAGCAGCCGCGGUAAUACGAAGGGGGCUAGCGUUGCUCGGAUUGACUGGGCGUAAAGGGCGCGUAGGCGGAUAGUACAGUCAGGCGUGAAAUUCCUGGGCUCAACCUGGGGGCUGCGUUUGAUACGUGUUGUCUGGAGUUCGGAAGAGGGUCGUGGAAUUCCCAGUGUAGAGGUGAAAUUCGUAGAUAUUGGGAAGAACACCGGUGGCGAAGGCGGCGACCUGGUCCGAUACUGACGCUGAGGCGCGAAAGCGUGGGGAGCAAACAGGAUUAGAAACCCCCGUAGUCC